rnacentral:rRNA from 1 species
UACCAGCACCCCGAGUGGUCGGGACGUUUAUUGGGCCUAAAGCAUCCGUAGCCGGUUCUACAAGUCUUCCGUUAAAUCCAACUGCUUAACAGGUGGGCUGCGGAAAAUACUAUAGAGCUAGGAGGCGGGAGAGGCAAGCGGUACUCGAUGGGUAGGGGUAAAAUCCGUUGAUCCAUUGAAGACCACCAGUGGCGAAGGCGGCUUGCCAGAACGCGCUCGACGGUGAGGGAUGAAAGCUGGGGGAGCAACCGG